UCUCCGCCGGAAAUCUCCGAAAUAGAAGCGACCACCGGCUCCCCCACAAAGCUAGCAGGCGGACCGCGCGGCGGUGCGGCGGAGGUGUGCCAACGGCGAGGUCCAGCAGCCCGCUCCUCUUCAGGGCCUCGAUUUUUGGGCGGAGAGUUGCGGCGGGUCGGUACCGUGUCAAUCGCAGGGAUGGAGGAGCCCGGGGUCGCCGUACUUUUCCCAUCGGCUCCAGCUCAGAUCAGAGAGAUCAGAGGAGAUUCGGCCGCCACGGCAGUUGGAACGAACCGAGGCGGCGACACACGUCGCGCCACAACAUCUGGAGCGAUUACACAGGGAGAAGCACUGGCCGCGUCGGAUUUUCCGGCAGCUGAAGCGGCAGGACGCCGCAUCUACACUGGGCCACGCACUGUUUCAUCAUUGUGGGGGAGGAGCAGGGUUCCGUGUGAGCUCGUGUAGCGGAGAUGGCGUUGUUGAUGCAAAGAGACAAGGAGGAGCUGCGAGUGUUGGCGCCAUGUCGAGUUGUGCAGAUCUUCAGUGUGGAUAAUGCUAUUGAAUUUUGCUAAUCAUUGCUUUCACGCGUGACGGCGCGAGGGAGAGUGCCAAGGUACUGAACAUGUUUGCUUCUGCAGUUUGCUACUGCUCAUUGGUGCUCCUGCUACUCUACUUAAUUGUGAGUUCUGCACUGCUGAAUUUGCAUAUAAACGAACUGAUGGCUGAAUUUUCUAGUUCCUGCUUGCUAUGCUUCUAGUUCUUGCUGCUAGCUGUUCACUUAGAUGAUAUUGUUAAAAUAUAGGAGAUAAUAUAGAGAAUGACCAGAGGGUCAGAUGGUUAGCUCGA